rnacentral:lncRNA from 1 species
UCUUUUCGUAGAGAUCGACCAAAAGAUGGCAGCCAGCUGUGUUUGUCCUCAAGGUACCAUGUUGGGAAGGUAAAGAGAACUGGGAGCUCCAGGAUGUGGGCUCUCCAGUCUGCAGAUUCUAAGGUAAUGCCUUCUCUCUCCAGCAUCCCUAUGGGGAAUCAAGGACACAAUGCAUGUUGAGCACUUGCUAGUAUGUGCUGCUUACAAAGAGAAGCCUGAAGGAUACAGGACCCCAAUGGGACCCAGGCCCCCAGGACCAGCCUUGCAAACACAACAAUCAGAGUGGCCCCAGGCCACAGAAACCGACAUCCAAACUGGAAGUCUGUGGAGUCUGCAGGUCUGGAAAAACUGGAGGGCGACAACCAGGAAGCCAGCCCGUGACUGGACUCUCUUCUGGCCAUAUAUAGAACUAACAAUGUACGCCCUGGAAUCUUGGGAUUGGAGGAAAUCACAUGGGCCACUGAGUCCUCUCACCAGGCUUUGCCUCUAG